UACGGAGGUCCCGAGCGUUGUUCGGAAUUACUGGGCGUAAAGGGAGCGUAGGCGGACAGGUCAGUCGGAAGUGAAAAUCCGGGGCUUAACCUCGGACCUGCUUUCGAUACUGCCUGUCUUGAGUUCGCGAGAGGAAGAUGGAAUUCAGGGUGUAGCGGUGAAAUGCACAGAUAUCCUGAGGAACACCGGUGGCGAAAGCGGUCUUCUGGCGCGAAACUGACGCUGAGGCUCGAAAGCGUGGGGAGCAAACAGG
rnacentral:rRNA from 1 species